ACCGCGUUAAGGAAUACUCGGUUCUUCCUCAGAGCUGCCUGCCUCUAAAGUCCUCCAACUCUGCUAGGCUCUCCGAGGUCUCCGGGUCGCGUCCACUCGGGGCGCGCGCGCGGCCCCCGAACAGUUAACCAGGAGGAAACCAACCGAAAGGAGGAAGGUGCUCGAGGCACCGCCCCCCGCAGGGUCCCUGCCUCCCAUUGGUUCGCGCGCCCGUCCGUCCGCCCAGGGCCGCGCCGGCUCUCCCCGCUUUCCUGGCUCCCUUGAGGUUUGUGCGGCGGUCCACGCCAGGGUGAGCCUGAGCUGGCGCGGGCUUCUGGGAGCUCGGGGGUAAGGAGGGCAGGACCAGCCGCCCCGGGGCUGAACAUCGUGGGGCGGGCGGCAGGGCUGCGUCCGCAGGACCACCUGUCGCAGGACGAGGCUUCGGGUAAGGCUCUGCGCGGCGAGGCCGGGGCCGGGCUGCUCGGGUGCGGCUCCUCUGCGGACCGCCGGGAGCCGAGCGCGGCUUCCGCGCGUGCGCCCCGACCCGACCGGGUCGCUCAGGUCCGGCGGGACCCCCGGUGCCACCGCCCGCGGCUGUUCCGGUCGCGCGCUUUGGGGGAGCGCUUUUCCGCUUUUCCCGCUCGCCGUUGCCGGGGGCGCCCCAGCUCCAACCUUCCACCCCAGGCUCCAGCCCUGUGGCCUCCAGGUAAAAGAAAAGAUGUUUUCCCGAUUAAGAACUGUUGCCACUCCUUGUACUUUGGCAUGCCAUCAUUUGCACGAAAAGAGAAAGGAAAGCCACUCAUGUUGAAUCCAAGAACAAAUAAGGAAAGGUAUGUUUAGAUUUAAAGUGCGAUUUUAAAAGAAGAGUCAUCAAAAAUUUGGGAAUCCCUAGCUGAGUGUGGUGUGACACAUGCUUGUAAUCCCAGCACUCGUGAGGCUGAGGCAGGAGAAUUGCCACAAGAUUGAGGCCAGCAUGACUACAUA
rnacentral:lncRNA from 1 species